rnacentral:rRNA from 1 species
AGCGAACGCUGGCGGCAGGCUUAACACAUGCAAGUCGAACGGGCAUAGCAAUAUGUCAGUGGCAAACGGGUGAGUAACGCGUGGGAACGUACCUUUUGGUUCGGAACAACACAGGGAAACUUGUGCUAAUACCGGAUAAGCCCUUACGGGGCAAGAUUUAUCGCCGAAAGAUCGGCCCGCGUCUGAUUAGCUAGUUGGUAGGGUAAUGGCCUACCAAGGCGACGAUCAGUAGCUGGUCUGAGAGGAUGAUCAGCCACAUUGAGACUGAGACACGGCCCAAACUCCUACGGGAGGCAGCAGUGGGGAAUAUUGGACAAUGGGCGAAAGCCUGAUCCAGCCAUGCCGCGUGAGUGAUGAAGUCCCUAGGGUUGUAAAGCUCUUUUGUGCGGGAAGAUAAUGACGGUACCGCAAGAAUAAGCCCCGGCUAACUUCGUG